CUUGAUCGCACCCAACCACAACGGCCGAUCCUCAGACGCCCCUGACCGUACGUCGCCAACAACGCCUGCGCCUC
rnacentral:antisense_RNA from 1 species